rnacentral:lncRNA from 1 species
CAACCCUCUCCCGAAAGCCUUGCUGUGCAGCAUGCAUGGGGAAUGAGGGGGACAUUCUCAAUCCAAGCCAUAGCAAUCUGUUAUAAGGUUAUGAAUUCCUGGGUAAUAUUCUAUUUGCCUUUGGCACAUUAUGAAUCACAAAUCAGCCAUUGUUGUUUUAAUCAUUUAACAAAUUUAUUGAGAUAAAAGUGACACACGAUCAAUGGCCUGUCUCUAAAUUUUGUACUUUGUAAGUAUUGUUAUAUGAUGAACAACUGAAAUCAUCAGUACAACUGAGAUAACGAAUAUAUGUCAUUCCUCAAGGUUUCUUUCGUUUCUUUGUGUCUCAAUUUUCCCAACCC